rnacentral:rRNA from 1 species
UCAGGACGAACGCUGGCGGCGUGCUUAACACAUGCAAGUCGAACGGAAAGGCCCUGCUUUGUGGGGUGCUCGAGUGGCGAACGGGUGAGUAACACGUGAGUAACCUGCCCUUGACUUUGGGAUAACUUCAGGAAACUGGGGCUAAUACCGGAUAGGAGCUCCUGCUGCAUGGUGGGGGUUGGAAAGUUUCGGCGGUUGGGGAUGGACUCGCGGCUUAUCAGCUUGUUGGUGGGGUAGUGGCUUACCAAGGCUUUGACGGGUAGCCGGCCUGAGAGGGUGACCGGCCACAUUGGGACUGAGAUACGGCCCAGACUCCUACGGGAGGCAGCAGUGGGGAAUAUUGCACAAUGGGCGGAAGCCUGAUGCCAGCAACGCCGCGUGCGGGAUGACGGCCUUCGGGUUGUAAACCGCUUUCGCCUGUGACGAAGCGUGAGUGACGGUAAUGGGUAAAGAAGCACCGGCUAACUACGUGCCAGCCGCGGC